rnacentral:rRNA from 1 species
GGAGCGGAAGCCCGGAGAUGGGCACUGAGACAAGGGCCCAGGCCCUACGGGGCGCAGCAGUCGCGAAAACUCCGCAAUGCGCGAAAGCGUGACGGGGCUACCCCAAGUGCCGUCCGCUGAGGAUGGCUUUUCCCCGGUGUAAUGAGCCGGGGGAAUAAGGAGAGGGCAAGCCUGGUGUCAGCCGCCGCGGUAAUACCAGCUCUCCGAGUGGUAGGGAUGAUUAUUGGGCUUAAAGCGUCCGUAGCCGGCCCGGCAAGUCUCCCGUUAAAUCCAGCGACCUAAUCGUUGGGCUGCGGAAGAUACUGCUGGGCUAGGGGACGGUAGAGGCCGACGGUAUUCCCGGGGUAGGAGUGAAAUCCUAUAAUCCCGGGAGGACCACCAGUGGCGAAGGCUGUCGGCU